GUCCUAGCCGUAAACGUUGGGUGCUAGGUGUGGGUGGACAUCGACCCCAUCCGUGCCGAAGCUAACGCAUUAAGCACCCCGCCUGGGGAGUACGGCCGCAAGGCUAAAACUCAAAGGAAUUGACGGGGGCCCGCACAAGAGGCGGAGCAUGCGGCUUAAUUCGAUGCGACGCGAAGAACCUUACCUGGGCUUGACAUGCAGGGCAAAGCCGGUGAAAGCCGGCGCUCUACGGAGCCUGCACAGGUGGUGCAUGGCUGUCGU
rnacentral:rRNA from 1 species